GACGAACGCUGGCGGCGUGCUUAACACAUGCAAGUCGAACGGAAAGGCCCUGCUUUUGUGGGGUGCUCGAGUGGCGAACGGGUGAGUAACACGUGAGUAACCUGCCCUUGACUUUGGGAUAACUUCAGGAAACUGGGGCUAAUACCGGAUAGGAACUCCUGCCGCAUGGUGGGGGUUGGAAAGUUUCGGCGGUUGGGGAUGGACUCGCGGCUUAUCAGCUUGUUGGUGGGGUAGUGGCUUACCAAGGCUUUGACGGGUAGCCGGCCUGAGAGGGUGACCGGCCACAUUGGGACUGAGAUACGGCCCGGACUCCUACGGGAGGCAGCAGUGGGGAAUAGUGCACAAUGGGCGGAAGCCUGAUGCAGCAACGCCGCGUGCGGGAUGACGGCCUUCGGGUUGUAAACCGCUUUCGCCUGUGACGAAGCGUGAGUGACGGUAAUGGGUAAAGAAGCACCGGCUAACUACGUG
rnacentral:rRNA from 1 species